AUAUAAACUUUUUCCAAAGUCUCUUGUAGACAAUCCAUGCAUACCACCCCAGAAUAAAUGGUUGAGAAUUUGAGAUGAUCAGAAGUUCAGAAUUUCACUUAAUCCAAUAGAGUUUUUGGUUUGGAGUACCAUGGUUUGGGUCCCGCCAUCUCUCUCUCAGUGGAAAGUGGGUGCUUUCUGAUUUUUUUAAAAGUUGAAACUUGAUGGUAGGGAAGCUCUUUCUCCGACUCACUUCAAAGAGCUUCUUAAAUGGGGUGUUAGGGAUCUCUCUCUGAUAUUUUUGAGUAAAACUAGGGUUUUAGAGCUCUCUCAAGGCGGUUGGUGCUAAUCAUGAAUGGGGCCUCAAGCCUUGCGCACCUAUGCAAUACUCCUUCUUCCAAACCCUAUUUUUGGACUUCAAUGCUUUCAAAAGGUUCAUUUUCCUUUUUGGAAACGCAAAUUUGGUCUAGAUUGAGUUUUCGUAGGGAAGUCCAAAUAGCUACAUGUAUGGUUGUUGGUGGGAGCUAUAUUUCCACACCUGUGCAACAACCCAAAAUUGCUUUCAAGGACAAACCUCCGCAAAAAUUGGAGAAAACUGGAGCAUUCCAAAAGUUACCCAUGGUGUUGCCUUCAAAUGACUUACUUCUUUCGGCGUUGAAAAAAGCAAAGAGGGUUUCUCCUACAAAGGGCAUUGCAAAUAUAGCAAAACGAGAGAGAAACAGAGGUGCCAGACAACUUGAUCAAUUGAUGAAAGAAUUAGCUGUUCCCUUGAGAGGUUAUGUGAAGAUGUUCCCCUACAAACGUUCUCUGCAUCCUUAUGAGCAGUCUCUUAUUGAACUGACACUUGGAGAAGGAACUUAUGAAGAGGUCUUGGGGAGGGUAGAUACCAUAAGGAAGAAGGUUGUAUCUGUUGGAAAAGAACAAGCUUCUUUGUGUGCAAAGUCAUCAUCGAAACGUGAAGCAGAAGAUCGCUUGGGUGAGGGACUAAGAAGGAUUGAAGAAAUCUUUCAACGGGAAGGAAAUGCUGUGGAUGAUCUAGUAAACGUUGCUAAGGCACUGCGUGUUAUGCCAGUAGUAAACCCUGAAAUCCCCACACUGUGUCUUGUUGGGUCGCCAAAUGUGGGAAAAUCGUCUUUGGUCCGUGUUCUUUCAACUGGAAGGCCAGAGGUUUGCAACUAUCCAUUCACAACCAGAGGCAUUCUGAUGGGUCACAUCGUUCUCAAUUAUGAGCAAUUUCAGGUGACUGACACACCCGGCCUUUUGAAGAGACCUGAAGAUGAAAGGAACAACCUGGAGAAGUUGACACUUGCUGUCCUCAUGCAUUUGCCAACAGCCGUUCUGUUUGUCCAUGACCUAUCUGGUGAAUGUGGUAGCUCGCCCUCUGAUCAGUUUGAAACAUACAAAGAGAUACGAGAAAGGUUCCCUGAUCAGCUUUGGCUUGAUGUUGUUUCUAAAUGUGAUCUUUUGCCUUAUGACAUCACAUCAGAGAAAGGGAAUAUUGAGGAUGAUGAACUGGAGAGGUAUAAGAGAGCUGGACCUGAAGGAGCCAUCCAUGUUUCAGUGAUGAGUGGGAUAGGGAUUGACAAGCUUAAGAGCAAAGUUCAUGACCUCCUGUUAUGUCAGUUGGCUCGAAUCACUACUCAGAGAAACCAAGAAGCUGAAGUGGAGAAUCCCUGACAUUGCUGUCCUGUCAGUUGUCUUGACUGACUAGAGAGCGAAUGCACUUGAGUUGAGCAAAAUAUGUAGAGGCGAUGAUGAGGAGAGUUACAUGAGGGGGUGGGAGAAAAGUGCGUUAUCAGUGAGAAACCGAUGGGCAGUGGAGAAGCUCAAGGGCGAGAAAACAGGAACAACAAACUUAAAAUCACCGGGAAAGGAGGCAUUGCAUUGUAGUAGUCUCCCCAAUAUGCUUUAUCUGCAAACUAAUAUUCUUGGUGAAAAAGACAGCUUGGGGGUGUGUCAAGAACUUUGAGAAUGCUUUGAACUUAGUCAAUUAUAUACUCACAACUGCCUGAUCUGAAAUCCGAUUGGCAAGAGUGAUUGUGAUCUCUUUAUAUCAAUAAUAAAUGAUUUGUUAGAAUAUUUUGCUUUUUUUAUUAUUUACACCAGAUGUAUUAUUCCA